GAUGAACGCUAGCGGCAGGCUUAACACAUGCAAGUCGAGGGGUAUAGUUCUUCGGAACUAGAGACCGGCGCACGGGUGCGUAACGCGUAUGCAAUCUACCUUUUGCAGAGGGAUAGCCCAGAGAAAUUUGGAUUAAUACCUCAUAGUAUGUGAGAAUGGCAUCAUUUUCACAUUAAAGUCACAACGGCAAAAGAUGAGCAUGCGUCCCAUUAGCUUGUUGGUAAGGUAACGGCUUACCAAGGCGACGAUGGGUAGGGGUCCUGAGAGGGAGAUCCCCCACACUGGUACUGAGACACGGACCAGACUCCUACGGGAGGCAGCAGUGAGGAAUAUUGGACAAUGGGCGCAAGCCUGAUCCAGCCAUGCCGCGUGCAGGAUGACGGUCCUAUGGAUUGUAAACUGCUUUUGUACAGGAAGAAACACUCCCUCGUGAGGGAGCUUGACGGUACUGUAAGAAUAAGGAUCGGCUAACUCCGUGCCAGCCGCCGCAGUAAGAC
rnacentral:rRNA from 1 species